GUGAGGAAUAUUGCGCAAUGGAGGCAACUCUGACGCAGCCAUGCCGCGUGCAGGAAGAAGGCGCUACGCGUUGUAAACUGCUUUUAACCGGGAAGAAACCCCAGGACGUGUCCUGGGUUGACGGUACCGGAUGAAUAAGCACCGGCUAACUUCGUGCCAGCAGCCGCGGUAAUACGAAGGGUGCAAGCGUUAUCCGGAUUCAUUGGGUUUAAAGGGUGCGUAGGCGGAGCGUUAAGUCAGUGGUGAAAUCCUGCAGCUUAACUGUAGACUUGCCAUUGAUACUGGCGCUCUUGAGUGCGCUUGAAGUGGGCGGAAUGUGCCGUGUAGCGGUGAAAUGCUUAGAUAUGGCACAGAACACCAAUUGCGAAGGCAGCUCACUAAGGCGAUACUGACGCUGAGGCACGAAAGCGUGGGGAUCGAACAGGAUUAGAAACCCGGGUAGUCC
rnacentral:rRNA from 1 species